rnacentral:rRNA from 1 species
GACAGAGGUGCCGAGCGUUAGGCGGAAUCACUGGGCUUAAAGCGUGUGUAGGCGGGUCGUUAAGUGCCUUGUGAAAUCCCACCGCUCACCGGUGGAACUGCUUGGCAUACUGGCGAUCUUGAGCCACUUAGGGGCAACCGGAACAAACGGUGGAGCGGUGAAAUGCGUAGAUAUCGGAAGGAACACCGGUGGCGAAAGCGGCGCGCUGGAUCUCUUCUGACGCUGAGGCGCGAAAGCCAGGGGAGCAAACGGG